rnacentral:rRNA from 1 species
ACAAUGAAGAGUUUGAUCCUGGCUCAGGAUGAACGCUAGCGACAGGCCUAACACAUGCAAGUCGAGGGGCAGCGAGC